rnacentral:tRNA from 1 species
GCCCCUGUAGUUUAGCUUGGCUAGAAUGUAAGAUUGCGGAUCUUAUGACGCGGGUUCGAAUCCCGCCGGGGGCA